GCCAGACUCCUACGGGAGGCAGCAGUGGGGGAUAUUGCACAAUGGGGGAAACCCUGAUGCAGCGACGCCGCGUGAGUGAAGAAGUAUUUCGGUAUGUAAAGCUCUAUCAGCAGGGAAGAAAGAAGACGGUACCUGACUAAGAAGCCCCGGCUAACUACGUGCCAGCAGCCGCGGUAAUACGUAGGGGGCAAGCGUUAUCCGGAUUUACUGGGUGUAAAGGGAGCGUAGACGGCAAUACAAGUCGGAAGUGAAAUACCCGGGCUCAACCUGGGAACUGCUUUGGAAACUGUAUGGCUGGAGUGCUGGAGAGGUAAGCGGAAUUCCUAGUGUAGCGGUGAAAUGCGUAGAUAUUAGGAGGAACACCAGUGGCGAAGGCGGCUUACUGGACAGUAACUGACGUUGAGGCUCGAAAGCGUGGGGAGCAAACAGGAUUAGAUACCCGUGUAUG
rnacentral:rRNA from 1 species